UACGUAGGGGCAAGCGUUGUCCGGAUUUAUUGGGCGUAAAGAGCGUGUAGGCGGCUUUACAGGUCCGUUGUGAAAACUCGAGGCUCAACCUCGAGACGCCGGUGGAAACCGUAAAGCUAGAGUCCGGAAGAGGAGAGUGGAAUUCCUAGUGUAGCGGUGAAAUGCGUAGAUAUCGGGAGGAACACCGGUGGCGAAGGCGGCUCACUGGCCCGUAACUGACGCUCAUGCACGACAGCGUGGGGAUCAAACAGG
rnacentral:rRNA from 1 species